rnacentral:misc_RNA from 1 species
UUUCCGUAGGUGAACCUGCGGAAGGAUCAUUACCGAGUGCGGGCCCUCUGGGUCCAACCUCCCAUCCGUGUCUCUUGUACCCUGUUGCUUCGGCGGGCCCGCCUUUUGGCCGCCGGGGGGCUUCCCGCCCCCGGGCCCGCGCCCGCCGGAGACUCCAACACGAACACUGUCUGAAGGUUGCCGUCUGAGUUUUCAUAUACGAAAAAUCGUUAAAACUUUCAACAACGGAUCUCUUGGUUCCGGCAUCGAUGAAGAACGCAGC